AGCUUGGCGAUUUCCCUUAAGACUGUGUUAACGCAGCUAUAAAAUAUUUGUUUAUUUUUUGGAAAUAUGUUGCCUGGUAUAUCAGAAUCUUAAUAAAUACUAAAAAGGCAUGAUGAGCUUCCGCCCAUCCAGCCAUCCAACCAUCCAGAGGAGGCCAGCAAGGACGCUGCCCGAGUUGACAAGCUUGGAUCAGCUAAGAGGACAGCAGGCGCUGUCUGGUGCCCGGCAUUCCCAAUGGAUUUUGCAGUUGCUCGUGCGUGUCGACAAGAAUUUCAAUUUGCAAACAAUAAAUUUGAACAGCCAGCCAGUGGCUCUUCGAGGAUGGCGAGGAACGCAGUGGAGUGGAGCGGAGGGAGCUAAAGGCACCCAAUAACUGCGACAUGCAAAUGACAGUUUGGCAUUUGACAAUGAUGUUGAUUUCAAUGUG